CGGGGGGGGUAAGCGUUGUUCGGAAUUACUGGGCGUAAAGGGCUCGUAGGCGGCCAACUAAGUCGGACGUGAAAUCCCUCAGCUUAACUGGGGAACUGCGUCUGAUACUGGAUGGCUUGGAUUUGGGAGAGGGAUGCGGAAUUCCAGGUGUAGCGGUGAAAUGCGUAGAUAUCUGGAGGAACACCGGUGGCGAAGGCGGCAUCCUGGACCAACAUUGACGCUGAGGAGCGAAAGCCAGGGGAGCAAACGGGAUUAGAUACCCCGGUAGUCCUGGCCCUAAACGAUGAAUGCUUGGUGUGGCGGGUAUCGAUCCCUGCCGUGCCGAAGCUAACGCAUUAAGCAUUCCGCCUGGGGGGGUACGGUCGCAAGGCUG
rnacentral:rRNA from 1 species